rnacentral:misc_RNA from 1 species
AUUGUAAUCUGGGAAUUGCUGAGAGUUUGUAACGCCCGUAUUCAUAGACUUUAGAAUUAGUAACGAUUCUCUGACGCGUGACGCAACUUGAUUAUACCUUUUUGCUUUUCGUUUACAUCUCACAAUCAAUUGUUGCACACAAUCCACAAUCAUACGCAAGGAUGUUUUCUGAAAAUAAUCUUGGCAAAGAUUAUUCCAGCAUAUCUAAACACGAACUACUAUUGCAUGUUUGUAACAACGAAAGAGAUCUUGACAAAAGUUUGCGAAACAUGGCCGAAGAUUUUAUUUAUUUCUACAAUAUACGUUUCAUGACGCUUCAGUCACCUGUGAACAUAAGUAGAAUUGAAAAGUUCCGAGAUUUAUGUAACGAAGAUAUUGUAGGCAGUUAUUUUCCAAUCACUGACGUCAUAUAUGAAUUUGAUUCUUAUUCUAAGCUUAAUUAUGCACUGGAAAAUACUUUUGAGACCUCUAUAAGUUUCAGAAAGUACAUUAUGCUGAUUUUUAUUAUUCUGGGUCUUUUAGGAAACUGCUUGUCUGCCAGUGUGCUCUUCCGUAAAAAGAUGCGUUCUUUCUCGUCCAAUAUCUACUUGAGCGUGCUAGCAAUAUGCGACAUGGCUUAUUUGAUAAUAUUACUCAUUUAUUGGUUCAUUUUAAUAGAUAUAGAAUCAAUGAAUAACGCAUACUUUGUAUGGUUAAUUUACUUGAAACAGUUUUCGAAAUUCUUUUCCGAGUUCUUGAGCGUGUGGCUUAUAGUAGCCUUUACCAUCGAGCGAUAUAUUGUAACGAAGUAUCCGCUUCUGCGUCGAUCAUGGUGCACUGUCAAACGAGCAAAAAUUGUAGUAAUCACGCUGAUGGGACUAGCGAUUUUGUUCGACAUUCUUUUUAUUUGGACCAUGACUUAUUCGAAUGAAAUAUUAAAAACAAAAAAUAUAAGUAGCUAUGAUUUAUACAAACAUCUAAAUUUGGACAUUCAAAAAAGCGCUGCACUUAAAAAUAUGAUUAUGAAUUCUAUUAUGAUAUUUACUUUACCUGCACUCGUGAUAGUCAUCUGCAAUACUCUCAUAGGAUAUCACAUUUACAAGCAAAAUCGUAUUCGCAAAAUGUUGAUUACAGCGUCCGAUUCUGCUACUGACAAUGAGAGAACUCAGAUUUCUAGUGACAAAAUGCUUCAGUAUAAGAUCACAAGAAUGCUUAUUCUUGUUUCAAGCAUAUUUGUAAUCUUGAAAUUACCUGUGCAUUACUUUUUCUACAUUACUCGUUACAUACCUAAAUAUAACGUUUCGUUAGUUAUGGUCGCAAUAUUUGACUUAUUGGACGCAGCACAUUACAGUAUAAAUUUUGUUCUCUACUGCGCAACGGGACAAACUUUUCGCAGAGAACUAAUCCACAUGUUUACAAAAUGUACAAAUAUAAGAAAAAACAGAAAUCAUGGAGAUGAAUAAUUAUAAGUAACAGUUGCAAGUUUACGUCCUACCGCACUUCAAACAAAACAUUGUGCUUAUUUGUUAACAACGCACAACUGAAAGUUUCUCAAGAGAAGAUAACACUCCUGAUUGAUACACGAGAGGUUAUAAUAUACAUUAUAUCUUUAUAUAAAUAUAGUUAACUGCAAAUAGCUUAAUAAAAUAGUUAAACAUUGUUGUAUCAAAAGUGUUAAAAUGGAAAGAAAGAAAUAAUGGACACACACGUGCCUACUUGUUUGCGGCCAGCUCGAGCGAGAGAGGGGUGAAGGGGGAAAGGUGAGAAAGAAAGAG